CUCAAAGAAAGGUCUUGGCAAUGAAAGGCGAUCAUGUAGGUGUGCUUGAAGGGACUUAAGCUGCAGAGGCUGGUACCAGCCAGAAGCCUCUGUGGCAGAGAAAGAGUUAAAAGGAAAGGCAAAGGGUAUGAAGUUAUCAAAGUGCAGAAUAAUGAGCAGAAGGAACAGUGCUCAGCCAUAGCAUUAGACCUGACUACAAUGUUGGCAAACACUGGCAUUAAAUAGGACCCCCAAAUGAGCAAACAAGUCUUCCACUCCAUCAUGAAGAAUUGUUCUCUGGACCCCAGGGUGACUCAAAGCUACUCCUCCUGCCUUCUGGAGCUCAGUCCAAUCGUUAUUAAAUCCUAAAAUGGAUUACAUGUCUGGAAGGGUUUGCAGUCCUUCCAAAGAGGUCUUGGUGGGCAUAAAGAAAGACCUGAUACCUGAGAUAAACUCGAGAUCUGACUCACUUCUAUACUUCUGUCACUGUUCAAAUAUUGCUGUGGGGAUCCUCACACACUCAAUACAUCUCCUAGAUCCAGGAGCUAAGUAUUGAUGAUGUAUUUUCUUUAGUACCUACCUGAUUUAGAAAUAUCAGUCCUUUUUAUUUGUGUUUUUGAAUUGUUGAUGAACUUUUGAAAAUCCUGUUCCCAGUCUCUCUGAAAUUCUCAUUUCUAAGAGAUAUAAAGUUGCUGUUUAUUGCUACUUGCUCAUGGAAAAAAUAGAAUAAUUAAAGAAAAUUCAAUUUAGUUGAAUUAUUCAAAAAGACUAACAAUAUCCAGCCCAAGAAAAUUCUGAAAAGGCAACAGAAAACUACAGAGCUAAGGGGCUUUUAUACGGCAUACAAUUGUUAUGAUUCCUUUUAAUUAAAUACAAAUGAAUUAAUUGGUAUAAAAUACUGUCAAGCAAUUAUUUUGCGGAC